UGCCCUUUGUACACACCGCCCGUCGCUACUACCGAUUGAAUGGCUAAGUGAGGCUUUCGGACUGGCCUAGGGAGAGCGGCAACGUUCACCCAGGGCCGGAAAGUUGUCCAAACUUGGUCAUUUAGAGGAAGUAAAAGUCGUAACAAGGUCUCCGUAGGUGAACCUGCGGAGGGAUC
rnacentral:rRNA from 1 species